AUAUACACAUAUUAUAUAGGGCAAAUCUCCAAAAUAGCACAUUUCUAAGUUUAUGUCACAAAAAUAGUCUUCAAAAACAAAAAUGACCAAAAUAGCAUUUUAUCUUUUGAAAAAUUUAAAUUUUUUUUAUUUUUCAAAAUUUGAAAUCUUAUCCCAAAACCCCACUCUCCAACUCUAAACCUAAAACCUAAACUCUAAACCCUAAACCCUAAAUC
rnacentral:lncRNA from 1 species